AGUGCCACGCGGACACAGCGGUUCCUGCGCGCCGUCUGCAGCCACCUGAUGGCUGCGUGCUGCGUUUUGCUAACC
rnacentral:sRNA from 1 species